rnacentral:rRNA from 1 species
CCCUUAGAUGUUCUGGGCCGCACGCGCGCUACACUGACGGAGGCAGCGAGCAUGUCCUUCGCCGAGAGGUGUGGGGAAUCUUGUGAGUCUCCGUCGUGCUGGGGAUAGAUGGUUGCAAUUGUCGAUCUUGAACGAGGAAUUCCUAGUAAACGCAGAUCAUCAAUCUGCAUUGAUUACGUCCCUGCCCUUUGUACACACCGCCCGUCGCACCUACCGAUUGGAUGGUCCGGUGAAGCCUCGGGAUUGUGGUUCUUGCCGCUUUAUUGUGGCGUGACCGCGAGAACUUGUCUAAACCUUAUCAUCUAGAGGAAGGUGAAGUCGUAACA